AAUGGCAGGUACAGAGGGGUGCUACCGGGUGACCGGAUGCCGAUCUCGAAAACCUGUCCCAGUUCGGACUGGAGUCUGCAACCCGACUCCACGAAGUUGGAUUCGCUAGUAAUCGCGCAUCAGCCAUGGCGCGGUGAAUACGUUCCCGGGCCUUGUACACACCGCCCGUCAAGCCAUGGGAGCCGGGGGCGCCUGAAGUCCGGGACCGCGAGGACCGGCCUAGGGCGAAACUGGUGACUGGGGCUAAGUCGUAACAAGGUACC
rnacentral:rRNA from 1 species